GGUACGCGCGGAUCUUCCAGAGAUUAGAGUUUGAUCCGGGCUCAGAUUGAACGCUGGCGGCAGGCCUAACACAUGCAAGUCGAACGGUAACAGGAAACAGCUUGCUGUUUCGCUGACGAGUGGCGGACGGGUGAGUAAUGUCUGGGAAACUGCCUGAUGGAGGGGGAUAACUACUGGAAACGGUAGCUAAUACCGCAUAACGUCGCAAGACCAAAGAGGGGGACCUUCGGGCCUCUUGCCAUCGGAUGUGCCCAGAUGGGAUUAGCUAGUAGGUGGGGUAACGGCUCACCUAGGCGACGAUCCCUAGCUGGUCUGAGAGGAUGACCAGCCACACUGGAACUGAGACACGGUCCAGACUCCUACGGGAGGCAGCAGUGGGGAAUAUUGCACAAUGGGCGCAAGCCUGAUGCAGCCAUGCCGCGUGUAUGAAGAAGGCCUUCGGGUUGUAAAGUACUUUCAGCGGGGAGGAAGGGAGUAAAGUUAAUACCUUUGCUCAUUGACGUUACCCGCAGAAGAAGCACCGGCUAACUCCGUGCCAGCAGCCGCGGUAAUACGGAGGGUGCAAGCGUUAAUCGGAAUUACUGGGCGUAAAGCGCACGCAGGCGGUUUGUUAAGUCAGAUGUGAAAUCCCCGGGCUCAACCUGGGAACUGCAUCUGAUACUGGCAAGCUUGAGUCUCGUAGAGGGGGGUAG
rnacentral:rRNA from 1 species